AUGGUCGGGCGUAGAGGGUGAGAGUCCCGUAAUCGAAAUUGUUCUGUCCGUGGUGUGGCCACCCGAGUAGCACGGGGCUCGUGGAAUCUCGUGUGAAUCUGCCAGGACCACCUGGUAAGUCUAAAUACUUCUUAGUGACCGAUAGUGAAUCAGUACCGUGAGGGAAUGGUGAAAAGUACCCCGGGAGGGGAGUGAAAUAGUACCUGAAACCGUGUGCUUACAAGCCGUUGGAGCCUUUUGGGGUGACAGCGUGCCUUUUGAAGAAUGAGCCUGCGAGUUAGUGUUAUGUCGCGAGGUUAACCCGUGUGGGGUAUCCGUAGCGAAAGCGAGUCUGAAUAGGGCGUUUGAGUGGCAUGACCUAGACCCGAAGCGGAGUGAUCUAUCCAUGGCCAG
rnacentral:rRNA from 1 species